rnacentral:pre_miRNA from 1 species
CAAAGUGCUGAUAGUGCAGGUAGGCUCCCUUGAUGCGACUACUGCAUUGUGAGCACUUGCAGC